rnacentral:rRNA from 1 species
CAGUAGCCGCGGUAAUAUGAAGGGGGCUAGCGUUGUUCGGAAUUACUUGGCGUAAAGCGCACGUAGGCGGACAUUUAAGUCAGGGGUGAAAUCCCGGGGCUCAACCCCGGAACUGCCUUUGAUACUGGGUGUCUAGAGUAUGGAAGAGGUGAGUGGAAUUCCGAGUGUAGAGGUGAAAUUCGUAGAUAUUCGGAGGAACACCAGUGGCGAAGGCGGCUCACUGGUCCAUUACUGACGCUGAGGUACGAAAGCAUGGGGAGCAAACAGGAUUAGAUACCCGCGUAGUCCCUGUCUCUUAUAC